UCUCGGUAGCUUAAAAGUUAACUUAAAUUUGUAUGGAGUUAGAACGUUUGCCUACGUUUGCCGCUAGGGGCGCUGUUCCAGCUGCAUAUAAAUUUGUGUUAACUUUUACUCGUUAAU
rnacentral:pre_miRNA from 9 species